CUGCAUCCCAAAACCAGUCCAACCUGUCUCUGCCUCCCUAACCUGUUCUUCCUCUCAGCCAUCCCUUCCUCCCACCCCAAGCCGCACCCCCAGCUACCUACUAACCUCAUCCCACCUCCUUGACCUGUCCGUCUUCCCUGGACUGACCUUUUCUCUCCUCUCCACCUUCGGUCCGCCUCCCCCUCUCUCCCUAUUUAUUCCAGUUCCCUCUCCCCGUCCCCCUCUCUGAUGAAGGGUCUAGGCCCGAAACGUCAGCUUUUGUGCUCCUGAGAUACUGCUUGGCCUGCUGUGCUCAUCCAGCCUCACAUUUUAUUAUUUUAGGAGAGAGAGCUGUUUUGGUUUGUGAUACAAGAGACGAGGCUGUCUAUGCCUUUCACCCAUCGGUAGCUCUCCUCCUGUCCCUGCCUCUAUGCACACACUCUGCCAGGCAUAGUCUUCCUCCCUCUGUGUGUGUGUCUCUCUCUCGCUUCAGCUCCUAAAAGCUAAGAUGCAUCGGAUAUAAAAACACGCACAUAAACACACACACACACAUCAACAAGCCAUGGAGAAAGAUCAGGAAUUACUGCAAGCUGUCAAAACCGAAGAUGUAGCUGCAAUGCAGAAGCUGUUGCAAAGGCCGAAACAAGGCAAAGCGAGACACAAUCAUCGCCUUGGAAGCUUAAUCACGAUACUACCUUGCAUUUCUGAAGAGGGAAGAAGAAAUCAACAUGAAAAUUCAAUUCCAUGGUUUUGGAAGUCCCAUUGAGAACACGAUUCAUUUGCGCCGGCAUAAUGCUCUGACCGAGAAAGAAUUGAAGUUUCCACUUGGAAGAAAGAUUCACAUCAAAUUGACUGGUCAAGGAAAUGGGACACUGACUAACCAUACGAUUAGACUGUUUUGAUGAGAAAUUUAAAGAUUACGUGUCCCAUCCGUUUGACUCACAGUUUGGUACCAUAGGUUGGUACGAUCUUCGUUGGAGAAGGAAAAGGGAUGUUCCAGAUACAGAAAACCGUCAAACCAUUUACAACAAAGUCCAUUUCUGAACCAUACGAUGAGACUGUUUUGAUGAGGAAUUGAAAGAUUAUGUGUCCCAUCCAUUUGACUCACAGUUUGGUACCAUAGGUUGGUACGAUCUUCGUUGGAGAAGGAAAAGGGAUGUUCCAGAUACAGAAAAUCGUCAAACCAUUUACGACAAAGUCCGUUUCUGGGUGGAGUUAGUGGAACCGAAAAAGAUGUCUCCCUCACAGCGUUUGUGACAAAAGAAUUGCAUCGUUCCUUGGCGGCCUUUCAACAGAAGAAUAUUUAGAGAUUUCCCGAGUGGACACAAUCAUUGCCUUGGAAGCUUCAUCAUGAUACGACAUUGCAUUUCUGAAGAGGGAAGAAGAAAUCAACAUGCAAAUUCAAUUCCAUGGUUUUGGAAGUCCCAUUGAGAACACAAUUCAUGUGCGCUGGCACAAUGCUCUGACCGAGAAAGAAUCGAAGCUUCCGCUUGGAAGAAAGAUUCACAUCAAGUUGACUGGUCAAGUAAAUGGGACACUGACUAACCAUACAAUUAGUCUGUUUUGAUGAGGAACUUAAAGAUUACGAGUCCCGUCCGUUUGACUCAGAGUUUGGUACCAUAGGUUGGUACGAUCUUCGUUGGAGAAGGAAAAGGGAUGUUCCAGAUACAGAAAAUAGUCAAACCAUUUACUACAAAGUCCGUUUCUGGACACAAUCAUCGCCUUGGAAGCUUCAUCACGAUACUACUUUGCAUUUCUGAAGAGGGAAGAAGAAAUCAACAUGCAAAUUCAAUUCCAUGGUUUUGGAAGUCCCUUUGAGAACACGAUUCAUUUGCGCCGGCAUAAUG